rnacentral:lncRNA from 1 species
CUUGAGUUUGUAAAGAGAGCAAGAAAAACAAGAUAGAGUCUUAGCAACUAGAGGAAACAAGCAUCUCAUUUCUGUAGGCCAGUGUUGUCCAACAGAAACAAAAUGGAAGAAGCUGCAGUGUAGAGAGGUGAGAUUUGUCCAAGGUCACACAGAAAGAAAGAGGGCUGGAAAACAGAGGACUCCAACAAUACUCAUUCCUUCUCUGAUUUGUGUCCUCUGGUGCCCGGCUGCAGCUUUGGAAUAAUGAAGUCCCACCUUCCAGCCUACAUACAUAUUGUGCAUUCUGGUCACACACCCAUUUUGCUGCUGAAGAGAUGAUGAAACUGGCUGAAAUUAUAAUUUGAUUCUCCAAACACAGAGACCUUUUCAGUUGACCCUAGAGAUGAGCCCUAACUAUACUUUGAAUCAACAAAUAUCAAUUUUCGCAGCAAUGAAAUAAAUAUAUGGAGAGAUAGUUAUAGUUACAGUGGGUUAUAAAACAGGGCAAGGGAAAGCUGUGACUAUUUAUUUGGCUCUGCUCCUAGCAAUGAAGUAUUUAUCCAUCAGCUAUGUGGCAGUGACAUUUUUUAUAUGAAGGGCAAGUUUGAAUUAAUAACUAAAGAGACCGUUUUUAAAAAUAGAUCAUCAGUGUAGCAACCCAAAAAUGUAUCCAAUAAAGUGCUUCACUAGCAAUAUUGCAAAACAUGAGGAGGAAAAAAACUCUCUCCAAUUAAAUUCUCACUCACCAGUGCUUUCGUGGUGGAACAACCACAACAGCAUGAAGGUUAACUGCCUUGGCAUAAAAGAGGAGACGGAGUAACAGGAUUUGUCAAGUAGAUCGUGGCAUCAGCUUAACAUUUGUGGGAGUUAAAUGUAUGCAUGAACAGUUGUAAUGCUGAGUUCCAUUAAAAAAUAUGAUGGUGAAAUGGCCUGGAGUGAAGCAUUAUUAUUUAUU